UUCUUAAAUUAUUAAGAUCUUUUGUAAUAUAGAUCUUUAUACAAUUAUAAUGAAAAUUAUUUAUUUCCUAAGUUCGGUGUUGAAUUCCAAUUGUUUCUAUUAUGUGCAAUUUUAGGAUAGUACACAUGACACUAAAUAUAGGUUCAUGAUUAUACUGGUUUAUAAUUUAUACCUGCUAAAAAUAGAACAUUUUUAAAAAAGGCAAGGUGACAAGAUGAAACAUUGUGAUGUCUUGUUCCCGCGAAAAUUUUUGCUACCGGCUUCGGCAUGUUGAAUUAAACGGACGAAUUAUUAACGAUUUUGAGGAAAAUCGAAGAAAGUACAGUUUUGGCAGAAGAAAACUGCAGAAAUGAAUAGUCGCGAAAAAAUAGAAGAGAUGAGGCAGCAGCAGGCAGACAUGAAAAUGAAGAAGAUAUAAUGCUUCCUGAAUAAUUUUUGUAAGCUUAACAUGUAACAUGUGCUCAUGAGAGUCUAUGAAAAUAUAGAUAAUGCUAUCAGAAGAGAUGAACACAAAAAUGUACACACCGGACCAUGUGGCUAUUGGAAGAUAUACAUUUUAUAAAGGUAUUAGUUUUUCGUAGAAUAUUAUCUGCGUUAUAAAAUAAUAAAUUUACCAUGCAUUUAGAGUUGAUACUAAACUUUUUGCAAUAGUUCAUGAUUAUGAAAGAACAAAUCAUAAAGCAAUACAAUGUUUAAUAUUUGAAAAGGAAUGCCUUUCAGGGAUCAAAAAUCAUUACAGCAUAAUAUUGUUGUUAUGGAUGGAAUCAUACUGUAUUUCAUCUGUUUCAUUUAGUAAAGUAUAUACAGAACAAUUUGUUGUAGAAAGACUUCAAAUUUAUUUUUAUGGAUAAUAUUCUACAAGCAAGUAAAUUAUGAAUUACCAAAAAAAUUUUUUAAAAUUGAAAGUUAAAUUUGUACUCAAGUCUUUAGUUAAUUCACUGGUUUUGUGAUGACAUGAGUCCCAAUGAAGUUAAAGAUAUAUGCAAUCAUGUAUAAUUAAAAGAUUAGGCAUCGUUCAAUACAUUCAUCUUGUGAAUGAUAUUUUUGACAGUGUUAAUAGUAGUAAAGCAACCUCAGGAAAGGUAAUAGCUACAGAUUGUGAAAUACUUCACGACAUAAGAUACAUCAAAAGAGAAAUCUGUAAAUAAAGAGUGUACAAAGGUACCGCAAAAUUGGAUUAGAAUUCUUAAAAAUUUUUCGUUUCUGAAAGAAGUACAUGACUUUAGUUUUUUAAUUUUUAUUAUACGUAGCUAUAGGCAAAGUGCAUUUAGAAAACUUUUUCGGUCAAAUGAGACAACACGGCGAUAGAAAUACUAAUCCAACUUGCAGUGCCUUUCAUGGAUAGUAAGGGACGUUGUUCUUACAUUCAUAAUCGCUGUUUGUAUGUACACAUACGAUUUGCGAAUGUGAAAAAUUCGUCGGCUUACUGUUUGAAAAAAUAUUCAUUCUGCAUGUACUGAUAAACAAAAACUGUUCUAUUUCCUUGAAUUGUAAUGAUACAGUAGUGUUCAGAAUCAAUUGUACAUACAUAAAUUAUUUAGGAAAAGAUUAUUUGUAAAUUUUGUAUUACUGCAAUAUAUGAAA
rnacentral:lncRNA from 1 species